AAACACGCUGACACGCAGGAAUCCGCUACUUUAGCACUCACUCGCAAAGCGUAGCAGCGAAUUACCAGAAAGAAACCGAACAUUUAGCGACAAGUUCCUCAAGGAUCACGGCCGUUUCUGACACGGAAUAAAGAGCUUCGAUCCACGAAGGUCGCAAGAAGCUUCGCUGCAAAAUCCUUGCCUUGCUUGACGCAUCAUCAUACAUGAUACAACAAUCUUGGUCCAGUUCCAUGGCCGUGCCUUGCUUCUCCGUGUGAUCUUUGCUGCAACUUCGGAGAAAGAACGAGAGGAGGAGGAGGAGGCCGUGUCCUCCUCGCAUGGUAUUUCUAGCGGCCGUCCCCUGUCGUCGAUCGCGAUCGCUUCCGAGAAAGAAUGGGCGGGGUGUUGAGCGCGCUGUUCGGCGGCCACCGGCGGAGAGCGGCCGAGGCGAGGAGGAUGACGAUGUCGAGGAGCGGUGAGCCGUCGGGACACGGCCGUGGAGGCGGCGGAGGCGGCGAGCAGCGGCGGAGGGGGAUGCUGUCCAAGAAGUACUCGUACAUACCGGACACCUUCACCUCUCUCGACCAGGUGAUUGAUGACGGGCCAUCUUCAUCUCACAUGAUUGUUCCUCGCUUCAUCUUCAUCUCCUGCCUGCUCGCCUGCCUGACUUGGUUAGCUUUGAUUUCUCAGGUGGCUUCGGCGCUGCGCGAUCAGGGCCUCGAGUCGUCCAACCUCAUCCUCGGGGUGGACUUCACCAAGAGCAACGAAUGGACAGGGAAGCGGUCGUUCAACGGACAGAGCCUGCACAAGCUGGGCGACGCGCCCAACCCUUACGAGGCGGCCAUCAGCAUCAUCGGCAAGACGCUCGCUCCCUUCGACGAGGACAACCUCAUCCCCUGCUUCGGCUUCGGCGACGCGACCACGCACGACUACAACGUCUUCAGCUUCCACCCGGACAACUCGCCGUGCCACGGCUUCGAGGAGGUGCUGGCCUGCUACCGGAACGUCGUGCCGCACCUCAGGCUAUCAGGGCCGACGUCCUUCGCGCCGAUCGUGGAGGCCGCCGUCGACAUCGUGGACAGGACCGGAGGCCAGUACCAUGUCCUCGUCAUCGUCGCCGACGGCCAGGUCACUAGGAGUGUGGAUACCAGUGAUGGCGAUCUGAGCCCGCAGGAGAGAAGAACCGUGGACUCCAUUGUCAUGGCCAGUUCGUAUCCCUUGUCCAUCGUGCUGGUCGGGGUCGGGGAUGGCCCAUGGGAGGACAUGCAGAAGUUCGACGACAAGCUCCCCGCGCGCGCCUUCGACAACUUCCAGUUUGUGAACUUCACGUCCAUCAUGUCGAGGAACGCGACGCUGCAGCAGAAGGAGUCGGCGUUCGCGCUGGCGGCGCUCAUGGAGGUGCCCAUCCAGUACAAGGCCACCAUGGAGCUCGGCAUCCUAGGCCGGUCCACGGGGAAGGCCAAGAGGGUCGUCCCGGCCCCGCCUCCGCUGCCGGGGUCUGCGCAGAGGCAGCCGUCGUCGUUCAGGCGGGAGGCUAGCGGCGCGAACGCCGCGGCGGCGGAGCCAAGAGAGGAUCAGGUGUGCCCAAUCUGCUUGACCAAUGCCAAGGAUCUAGCAUUUGGCUGCGGCCACAUGUGUUGCAGGGAGUGUGGGGAGAACCUCGACAGAUGCCCGAUAUGCCGAGAGACAAUACGCUCCAAGCUGAGGCUGUACACGGGAUGAUUGAUUCAAACCAAAAUAUGUCAUUAUAUUUGUUUCAAAUGUGAAGCAUUUCGCAGACAAAAUGCAGCGUCUGAGUUAUUCUGAUUGCAUGGUUCUACACUUGUUUUUCUCUAAAUAAGUGUGAGGUCUUGAAGCUCCGUAUCAUCAUGCGCGUGAGGUCUUCUCUUCUCUAACUUCGGACCGUGACAAGUUUUACACGUGUGACACGAACACAUGGUGGCAGGUUUCAAAUUUUUUAGGGGGAAGGGGGGAGGGUCUUUUCGGACGCCAACUUUAGUUGUAAAAAAACGACAGGUCAGAGUGUUCAUGUCACACGUGUGACAUUUAUUAUUUGGGCUAUCUUAUCAUGGACACUACUCGAGCUAAGGAAAUGAAUGGGAUGAGUUCUUGCAGGGUGACCGCCCUCUGCACCUACAUAAACCAUGGGUC